UGGGGAAUAUUGCGCAAUGGCCGAAAGGCUGACGCAGCGACGCCGCGUGUGGGAUGACGCCCUUCGGGGUGUAAACCACUGUUGCCCGGGACGAACGGGCGGAUUUAUCCGCCGUGACGGUACCGGGUGAGGAAGCACCGGCUAACUCCGUGCCAGCAGCCGCGGUAAUACGGAGGGUGCGAGCGUUGUCCGGAAUCACUGGGCGUAAAGGGCGCGUAGGCGGCUUGGUAAGGGGGCGGUGAAAGCCCGGGGCUCAACCCCGGGUCUGCCGGACCGACUGCCGAGCUUGAGCACACUAGAGGCGGGUGGAAUUCCGGGUGUAGCGGUGGAAUGCGUAGAGAUCCGGAAGAACACCGGUGGCGAAGGCGGCCCGCUGGGGUGUGGCUGACGCUGAGGCGCGACAGCGUGGGGAGCAAACAGGAUUAGAUACCCCGGUAGUCC
rnacentral:rRNA from 1 species